UGGGGAAUAUUGGACAAUGGGCGAAAGCCUGAUCCAGCAAUGCCGCGUGAGUGAUGAAGGCCUUAGGGUUGUAAAGCUCUUUUACCAGGGAUGAUAAUGACAGUACCUGGAGAAUAAGCUCCGGCUAACUCCGUGCCAGCAGCCGCGGUAAUACGGAGGGAGCUAGCGUUGUUCGGAAUUACUGGGCGUAAAGCGCACGUAGGCGGUUUUUCAAGUCAGGGGUGAAAGCCCGGAGCUCAACUCCGGAAUUGCCCUUGAAACUGGAUGACUAGAAUCUUGGAGAGGUCAGUGGAAUUCCGAGUGUAGAGGUGAAAUUCGUAGAUAUUCGGAAGAACACCAGUGGCGAAGGCGACUGACUGGACAAGUAUUGACGCUGAGGUGCGAAAGCGUGGGGAGCAAACA
rnacentral:rRNA from 1 species